rnacentral:misc_RNA from 1 species
GAAUGGAGACCCCACAAGCGAAUGAGGAACCUCGACCUCCUUCCCACUCUCCAAUCCGACAACGAAGGCCUUCGCUUCGAGAUUGCCACCGAUGGCCACGGCGAGGACGAUAAGAGUAUGUCCUACGGCCUCAAUAUCCGGCAGCAAAGCAGCGCCGACGGAGAUAAGGGCGAUGGUGACGAAGGAGUCAAAUCUCACCAG